rnacentral:lncRNA from 1 species
CAGUUAUUCCCUUCACUUCUACAAUGUCCAGACAAACCUUACUGAUGAAAAUCGGCACUUCUUAUUAAAAUUAGGGAUUUUAAAGGUUAAGUUAUUGAAGAUUGUUGAAAUACAAGGAAAUCGAGAGACAGCUUACCAGGCUGUCCUGACGACUACUGAUGGCUCAAAUGCAACCAGCAGCUUUUGAAUCUCGCUGUUGCCAUGAAGCUGUGUGUUUCUGAACUGCUGGGUGGAGCCUGCCUGUGAAGGUACAGCACCCUGCUCUUUUGGGAGGCUGUGGGUGUGUGGAAGGGAGCAGAAGAGACCCUGGGCAAGGAAUGCUUUGGAAUGCCAGCCUUCCUGGCUGUGAUGGGAGCGAGGUUCAAUGGCAUCUUUCAGGGAUGAGGGCUAGGUGCAUCUAGGGGCUUUCAGGGAACCUAGAGAGAAUGCCAUGCCUACGGAGAAAUGCGAGGAAAUCUCCAUCACUAGCAGAAAUGCUCAGGA